rnacentral:rRNA from 1 species
UACGUAGGGUGCGAGCGUUAAUCGGAAUUACUGGGCGUAAAGCGUGCGCAGGCGGUUUUGUAAGUCAGAUGUGAAAGCCCCGGGCUUAACCUGGGAAUGGCAUUUGGGACUGCAAGGCUUGAGUGCGGCAGAGGAGACUGGAAUUCCUAGUGUAGCAGUGAAAUGCGUAGAUAUCAGGAGGAAUACCGAUGGCGAAGGCAGGUCUCUGGGCUGACACUGACGCUCAUGCACGAAAGCGUGGGGAGCAAACAGG